rnacentral:rRNA from 1 species
UACGAAGGGGGCUAGCGUUGCUCGGAAUCACUGGGCGUAAAGCGCACGUAGGCGGAUCUUUAAGUCAGGGGUGAAAUCCUGGAGCUCAACUCCAGAACUGCCUUUGAUACUGGGGAUCUCGAGUCCGGAAGAGGUGAGUGGAACUCCGAGUGUAGAGGUGGAAUUCGUAGAUAUUCGGAAGAACACCAGUGGCGAAGGCGGCUCACUGGUCCGGUACUGACGCUGAGGUGCGAAAGCGUGGGGAGCAAACAGG